UACGUAGGCAGCGAGCGUUGUUCGGAAUUACUGGGCGUAAAGAGUGUGUAGGCGGUGCUCUAAGUUCGGUGUGAAAUCUCCUGGCUUAACUGGGAGGGUGCGCCGGAAACUGGAGUGCUCGAGCGUGGGAGAGGAAAGCGGAAUUCCUGGUGUAGCGGUGAAAUGCGUAGAUAUCAGGAGGAACACCUGCGGUGUAGACGGCUUUCUGGACCAUUGCUGACGCUGAGACACGAAAGCGUGGGUAGCAAACAGGG
rnacentral:rRNA from 1 species